UACGGAGGGGGCGAGCGUUGUUCGGAAUUACUGGGCGUAAAGCGCACGUAGGCGGACUGGAAAGUCAGGGGUGAAAUCCCUGGGCUCAACCUCGGAACUGCCUUUGAAACUCCCGGUCUUGAGGUCGAGAGAGGUGAGUGGAAUUCCGAGUGUAGAGGUGAAAUUCGUAGAUAUUCGGAGGAACACCAGUGGCGAAGGCGGCUCACUGGCUCGAUACUGACGCUGAGGUGCGAAAGCGUGGGGAGCAAACAGG
rnacentral:rRNA from 1 species